UACGUAGGGUGCAAGCGUUAAUCGGAAUUAUUGGGUUUAAAGGGUGCGUAGGCGGCCUGUUAAGUCAGGGGUGAAAGACGGUAGCUCAACUAUCGCAGUGCCCUUGAUACUGAUGGGCUUGAAUGGACUAGAGGUAGGCGGAAUGAGACAAGUAGCGGUGAAAUGCAUAGAUAUGUCUCAGAACACCGAUUGCGAAGGCAGCUUACUAUGGUCUUAUUGACGCUGAGGCACGAAAGCGUGGGGAUCAAACAGG
rnacentral:rRNA from 1 species